rnacentral:lncRNA from 1 species
AGGUAAUGAGAGGCCCUGAGAUCCCAGAGGUACCAUUCAAGAAGCCUGGGAUGUGUUGAGGACUCUGCUUCCUGCAGACACCUGAGUUUCUCUCCUCUGGUUUUAUGGUAAAACGGAGAGACAGAACCAGAGGGCAACCCACCAGGAAAGCCACUGAGCUGUGUGCACCAAGCCCAUCACUCAAGAUGCCACCGGAAAUGGCCUCUUCUCCCCAGACGCUGGCUCACAAACGGAGCAGCCCCCAGAGGUGAAUUUACCUGCCUUGAGCCCAGGUUCUGGGCUCUCCCACCUGACGCUUCAACCUCCAGCGGAGAAAGGAGUCUCUCUAGGGAAAAGAUCUAGGACCAACUGAGAAGUACAUUUCUAAAUCACCAGUUACUUUAAUGAGUAAGUACUUUCAGUUUUGCCAUUUUAUUUUAAGCAUUACUAUUUCACAUUUCUGACCAGCCUUUCUUAGGAUCCUCAUUUUUGGGGCACUUAAUGUAUAGGAAGGAAUCACCAGCCUAGUCCACUCCACCCCACCUCCACUUAACUGAAGAGUCCUAAAGAGACAACUGUUAUCAUUGUAAUAUUGUCUAAUAAGGGUGCAUGACUGAUAAGCCACUAAAUCUCUAAAAGCAUACAGUGCAAGGAAACAGUGAGCUGUGAACUGGAGAAAAGAGAUGACGCUUCUAUUGUCUGUGUAAUCUUUUAUGUUGUGGUUGACCACAAAGGCUUGGCAUCGGUUAUGACUCCUAGCUCUGCUUUUUAUAAAAUGGAUGACCUUG